AUUUUAAAGAUCAACUUGGCAGUGCCAAUAGUUACACAUGGACAACUCCUGACUACCCCACUUUAUGUGAGAAGUAUACCUAUGCCUCAAGCUUCCAAAGUCCUUUUGUUUUCCUGGUUAUGUGGUUACAGACUUAGAUUAUCAGUAUCCCCUAAUGGAGAUAGAAAAACAAGACAUUCAUUCCUCUCUUUAUACCUAAGAUUAUAUGAAGACCAUUUGCUGACAUCUAGUGAUGUUCAUGUGGUGCCCAGCAGUGAAGCCACUAUAAGUUUCAGGUUAACUGUGAUCAGCCAAGUGCAUGGUGUCAAUGACGUCAGUCAAAAAAGACUGAAGAGUGCUACUAUGGUCAAAUUUUAUUCUUCAAAUUUUACUAUUAAAGAUCUUGUUAAUU